GCCUUGUUAGCUCAGUGGAUAGAGCGUUCGCCUCCGGAGCGAAAGGUCGCAGGUUCGAAUCCUGUACAGGGCA
rnacentral:tRNA from 1 species